GACGAACGCUGGCGGCGUGCUUAACACAUGCAAGUCGAACGGAAAGGCCCUGCUUUUGUGGGGUGCUCGAGUGGCGAACGGGUGAGUAACACGUGAGUAACCUGCCCUUGACUUUGGGAUAACUUCAGGAAACUGGGGCUAAUACCGGAUAGGAGCUCCUGCUGCAUGGUGGGGGUUGGAAAGUUUCGGCGGUUGGGGAUGGACUCGCGGCUUAUCAGCUUGUUGGUGGGGUAGUGGCUUACCAAGGCUUUGACGGGUAGCCGGCCUGAGAGGGUGACCGGCCAGAUUGGGACUGAGAUACGGCCCAGACUCCUACGGGAGGCAGAAGUGGGGAAUAUUGCACCAUGGGCGGAAGCCGGAUGCAGCAACGCCGCGUGCGGGAUGACGGCCUUCGGGUUGUAACCCGCUUUCGCCUGUGACGAAGCGUGAGUGACGGUAAUGGGUAAAGAAGCACCGGCUAACUACGUG
rnacentral:rRNA from 1 species